CUGACACAGGUGCUGCAUGGCUGUCGUCAGCUCGUGUCGUGAGGAUGUUGGGUUAAGUCCCGUAACGAGCGCAACCCUUGUCCUUAGUUACCAGCACGUUAUGGUGGGCACUCUAAGGAGACUGCCGGUGACAAACCGGAGGAAGGUGGGGAUGACGUCAAGUCAUCAUGGCCCUUACGGCCUGGGCUACACACGUGCUACAAUGGUCGGUACAAAGGGUUGCCAAGCCGCGAGGUGGAGCUAAUCCCAUAAAACCGAUCGUAGUCCGGAUCGCAGUCUGCAACUCGACUGCGUGAAGUCGGAAUCGCUAGUAAUCGUGAAUCAGAAUGUCACGGUGAAUACGUUCCCGGGCCUU
rnacentral:rRNA from 1 species